rnacentral:rRNA from 1 species
AUUGAACGCUGGCGGCAGGCCUAACACAUGCAAGUCGAACGAGUGGCGGACGGGUGAGUCAUGUCUGGGAAACUGCCCGAUGGAGGGGGAUAACUACUGGAAACAGUAGCUAAUACCGCAUACCAUCGGAUGUGCCCAGAUGGGAUUAGCUAGUAGGGGGGGUAACGGCUCACCUAGGCGACGAUCCCUAGCUGGUCUGAGAGGAGGACCAGCCACACUGGAACGGAGACACGGACCAGACUCCUACGGGAGGCAGCAGUGGGGAAUAUUGCACAAUGGGCGCAAGCCUGAUGCAGCCAUGCCGCGUGUAUGAAGAAGGCCUUCGGGUUGUAAAGUACUUUCAGCGGGGAGGCGGUACUCGCAGAAGAAGCACCGGCUAACUCCGUGCCAGCAGCCGCGGUAAUUC